GACGAACGCUGGCGGCGUGCUUAACACAUGCAAGUCGAACGGAAAGGCCCUGCUUUUGUGGGGUGCUCGAGUGGCGAACGGGUGAGUAACACGUGAGUAACCUGCCCUUGACUUUGGGAUAACUUCAGGAAACUGGGGCUAAUACCGGAUAGGAGCUCCUGCUGCAUGGUGGGGGUUGGAAAGUUUCGGCGGUUGGGGAUGGACUCGCGGCUUAUCAGCCUGUUGGUGGGGUAGUGGCUUACCAAGGCUUUGACGGGUAGCCGGCCUGAGAGGGUGACCGGCCACAUUGGGACUGAGAUACGGCCCAGACUCCUACGGGAGGCAGCAGUGGGGAAUAUUGCACAAUGGGCGGAAGCCUGAUGCAGCAACGCCGCGUGCGGGAUGACGGCCUUCGGGUUGUAAACCGCGUUCGCCUGUGACGAAGCGUGAGUGACGGUAAUGGGUAAAGAAGCACCGGCUAACUACGUG
rnacentral:rRNA from 1 species